rnacentral:lncRNA from 1 species
CCAUGCUGCUCCGCCUCGUCCGCCCUCUACUCCGCCGCGAGCUCUCCGACAUCGCGUACGUACGCCUCGGCCACCGGAAGCACUAGUGGCCAUCUCUACUUGGUGCUGGAUGACUGGAAGGAGGGGUACAGCCUGCACACGCUCGAUCUCAAUGCCAACUCCGGCGACGGCGGCGACGACCCUUCCCCGCCGCGGCGCCUCCCCGCGCCGCUCCUCCGGCUAGGUUUCCGGACGCUCGGCUCGUGGCCGCACAUCAGCGCCCUAGGCAGCAAGAUCAUCUUCAUGGGUCAGCGCCGCCCAGAUCAGUUCCGUGUCGACGGCGGCGGCGGCGACGGCUGCGACGACGAUAAACGGCGGCGCCUCAUCCUCGUCUACGACACGGCGACGGCGGCGGUGGACGUCUCGCACCAUCUCCCGGACGACAUGCACCUGGUGACCAGCUACGACGUCGUGGCGGACGCCGGGAAGAACAGGCCCUACCUGCUGCUGCCUCAGUUCGAGCGGUCGCCGUCGCCGGAGCCGGAGCCGGAGCCGCCGCGCCGGCGGCCGCCAUGGCCAGGGGCGCCAGAACGCGGCGUGGACAUGGCGCCCUACCCCUACGUUGAGAAAGUGGAGAGGGUGAAGGCCGGGACCAGGCUCUACUUGCUGCUGCCUGAUCCGUUUGAUCAGCGGUCGCCGGAGCCGGGCCGCGCCGCCGUGGGCAUGCCCUACCUUGAGAAAGUGGAGAAGGUGUACCCCAAGGAGGAGGAGGAGAAACCGGCGGCGCGCGGCGGCCGCGGAAGCACUUCGCCGCCGCCAUUCUCCGGCGGGAGGCGCAUCACGGGGCACGCGCUGCACCCCGACGGCCGCACCAUCUUCGUCUCCGUCGAGAAGACCCACGCCCGCCGCCAUCCCGGCGACGAGGACGACGAGGAGGACGGCACCUUCUCCUACGACACCGAGCGCGGCGGCGAGUGGACGCGCCGCGGCGGCUGGCGCCUGCCGUUCAAGGGCCAGGCGCACUACGACCGCCACCUGGACGCGUGGGUCGGGAUCGGCGCAUCCUCCUCCGGCGCCGGCGGCCACCCCCGCCUCGUCGCCUGCGACGUCGUCCAUCUGUCUGACGCCGCCGACGACCCCGCGCCGCCGCCGAAGUGGACGGCGUGCGAGGAGACGCUGACGUUCCUGCAGGGCGGCGCGCUGCGGGAGCGGAGGGUCGGCGGCGAUCCCAAGCUGGUGCCCAUGGGUGGGGGCGGAGGCACGUUCUGCGUCGUCGAGAGCGCGCCGCGCGCCGGGCUCGAGCUGAUCGGCCUCGGCUCGCUCCUCGGCGACGGCGACAAGUUCGAGCUCCGCGUCACCGUGUUCCACGCCAAGUACGGCGAGAACGGCGAGCUGCUCAUGACGACGACGGCUUCGGCGGCGGCGGCGGCGUCCCACACCUACGCGCUGUCCCGCUAUCUCUCGAAUUUCCAUGCGCCCGCGUUCUGGAUGUUUCAUCAUUUUUGGUACGACAGCGGCGACGACGGCGACGACGAGGUCGAAACAGCGUACGAGAGCGGCGGCGACGACGACGAGGACGAGGUGGAAACAGAGUACGACAGCGACGACGACGACGAGGACGAGGUGGAAACAGAGUGA